AACGAACGCUGGCGGCGCGCCUAAUACAUGCAAGUCGAGCGAGAAGACGUAGCAAUACGUUUGUAAAGCGGCGAACGGGUGAGGAAUACAUGGGUAACCUACCCUCGAGUGGGGAAUAACUAGCCGAAAGGUUAGCUAAUACCGCGUACGCUCCUUGGACUUCGGUUCAGGGAGGAAAGCGAUACCGUGGGUAUCGCGCUCUUGGAUGGGCUCAUGUCCUAUCAGCUUGUUGGUGAGGAACGGCUCACCAAGGCUUCGACGGGUAGCUGGUCUGAGAGGACAAUCAGCCACACUGGCACUGCGACACGGGCCAGACUCCUACGGGAGGCAGCAGUGGGGAAUCUUGCGCAAUGGGCGAAAGCCUGACGCAGCGACGCCGCGUGAGGGAUGACGGCCU
rnacentral:rRNA from 1 species